CAAUAGCGUAUAUUAAAGUUGUUGCAGUUAAAAAGCUCGUAGUUGGAUUUCUGGUGGGAGCGAUCGGUCUGGCGCUUAGCGCGAGUACUUGCAUCGUCUCCGGCCAUCCUUGGGGAGAGUCUGUCUGGCAUUAAGUUGUCGGGCAGAGGAUCCUCAUCGUUUACUGUGAAAAAAUUAGAGUGUUCAAAGCAGGCUUAUGCCGUUGAAUAUAUUAGCAUGGAAUAAUAAGAUAGGACUUUGGUACUAUUUUGUUGGUUUGCGCACCAAAGUAAUGAUUAAUAGGGACAGUUGGGGGUAUUCGUAUUCCGUUGUCAGAGGUGAAAUUCUUGUAUUUACGGAAGACGAACUACUGCGAAAGCAUUUACCAAGGAUGUUUUCAUUAA
rnacentral:rRNA from 1 species